rnacentral:rRNA from 1 species
CAGCACCUCAAGUGGUCAGGAUGAUUAUUGGGCCUAAAGCAUCCGUAGCCGGCGCUGUAAGUUUUCGGUUAAAUCUGUACGCUCAACGUACAGGCUGCCGGGAAUACUGCAGCGCUAGGGAGUGGGAGAGGUAGACGGUACUCGGUAGGAAGGGGUAAAAUCCUUUGAUCUAUUGAUGACCACCUGUGGCGAAGGCGGUCUACCAGAACACGUCCGACGGUGAGGGAUGAGAGCUGGGGGAGCAAACCGGAUUAGAUACCCGGGUAGUCC